GCCGGGUGUGGUGGUGCACACCUGUCAUCCCAGCUACUCAGGAGGCUGAGGCAGGAAAAUCGCUUGAACCCAGGAAGUGGAGGUUGCAGUGAGCCAAGACUGUGCCACUGCACUCCAGCCUGAGUGACAGAGUGAGACCCUGUCUCAA
rnacentral:sRNA from 1 species